rnacentral:lncRNA from 1 species
AUGUCUUUUGGGCUACGUUGUCUGUGGCAGAUGACUGCAGGUCGCUGUCAUACUUUGCUGUCACCUGUCACGGAGGAGUCUGGGGAAGAGGGAACCAACAGUGAGAUUUCCUCUCCACCUGCCUGUCGCUCCCCUUCACCUGCGGCUAAUACAGAGGCUUCUCUUAACAAGGACAUUGCCUAUUACCAAUCCCUGUCUGCUGAGAGACUGCAGACAGAUGCUGCCAGGAUCCGCCCCAGCACAUCAGCAUCCCAGGAGUUGUAUGAGCCAGGGCUGGAGCCGUCUGCUACUGCCAAACUGGGUGAUCUGCAGCGUUCUUGGGAAACCUUAAAAAAUGUGAUCAGUGAAAAGCAGCGCACGCUCUAUGAGGCUUUGGAACGCCAGCAGAGGUACCAGGACUCGCUCCAGUCCAUCUCAACAAAAAUGGAGGCCAUUGAGACGAAGCUUAGUGAGAGCCUCAAGCUCGGCAGGAGUCCGGAAAGCCAGAUGGCCGAACAUCAGGCGCUGAUGGACGAGAUUCUCAUGGUCCAAGACGAAAUCAACGCGCUGCAGGCCUCACUGGCGGAGGAGCUGGUGUCAGAGGUGCGGGAGUCUGACCCUGCCCAGCAGCUGGCCUUGCAGUCCACCCUCACAGUGCUGGCUGAACGUAUGUCCACCAUCCGGAUGAAGGCCGCGGGCAAACGGCAGCUGCUGGAGGAGAAGUUAAACGAUCAGCUGGAGGAACAGAAGCACGAGCAGGCCUUGCAGAGGUAUCGAUGUGAAGCUGAUGAGCUGGAUCACUGGCUGUUGAGUACCAAGGCCACCCUGGAUGGCACCCUCAGUGCACCCACAGAGCCAAUGGACAUGGAGGCACAGCUGGUGGACUGCCAGAACAUGCUGGUGGAGAUCGAGCAGAAGGUUGUGGCCUUAUCUGAGCUGUCCCUCCACAACGAGAACCUGCUGCUGGAGGGCAAGGCACACACGAAGGAUGAGGCUGAGCAGCUGGCCGGGAAGCUGAAGACACUCAAGGGGAGCCUCCUGGAGCUGCAGAGAGCCCUCCGAGACCGCCAGCUGCACAUCCAGGUGAGGGCGAGGUGCUGUUCGAAGGCCCCCAGAGGAUGGUGAGGGUGUUGCACAACUGUACACAUUCCGGUGUGGAGUAUUAAUUUACACUGAUUUGGUCAUGCAUUUCCAACUAAGUUUUGCGGGGGUUACUUGAAUCCAGAGAUCUAAGGACUGUGCUAUAGGAAAAGAAAAGACAAGGAAAAUGGUGACUGCUCAAAUUUAAAUGGAGGUUAUAGAUGAAGACAUGCUAUGACACAUUCGUAUUUUUUUUUCUUCCUUUUUUUUUUUUUUGGUACAUUCGUAUUUCUUUUAUGCAUCCUACUCUUCAGAUAUACACAGACGUAUAUUUAGUGCUCAUGACUUUAGAAUUAUAUAUUCAGGCUGAGGAUGUAGCUCAGGUAGAGCACUUGUUAUGCCAUGCGGAGGGCUCUGGGUUCCAUCCUCUGUACCACACCCUCCAAAAAAGAACCUAGAAUUAUCGUGUAUUCCAGGUGAAUUAAACUUUUACUAUCAUGUAGGGACCUUAAUAUUCUUUAAUAGUGAUUUUCAUGUUAGAUUGCUAGAGCUUUUUUGAGCAAUAUUUAUCUGACUUGUCUUUUCACUUUCCUUUGUUUUCCUUUGUUUUAACUUUCCUUUGAUUUGUGUCCUUGUGUUCUAAUUUAUUUCCUAU